CUACGGAGGGUGCGAGCGUUAAUCGGAAUUACUGGGCGUAAAGCGUGCGUAGGCGGUUUGGCAAGUCAGGUGUGAAAGCCCUCGGCUCAACCGAGGAACUGCACUUGAAACUGCCAGACUGGAGUUCGGGAGAGGGUAGCGGAAUUCCGGGUGUAGGGGUGAAAUCCGUAGAUAUCCGGAGGAACACCGGUGGCGAAGGCGGCUACCUGGACCGAUACUGACGCUGAGGUACGAAAGCGUGGGGAGCAAACAGGAGUAGAAACCCCAGUAGUCC
rnacentral:rRNA from 1 species